GAUGAACGCUAGCUACAGGCUUAACACAUGCAAGUCGAGGGGCAGCAUGAACAUAGCUUGCUAUGUUUGAUGGCGACCGGCGCACGGGUGCGUAACACGUAUCCAAUCUACCCAUGGCUCGGGGAUAGCCUUUCGAAAGAAAGAUUAAUACCCGAUGGUCUCGGUUUAAGGCAUCUUAGACUGAGUAAAGAUUUAUCGGCGAUGGAUGAGGAUGCGUCUGAUUAGGUAGAUGGCGGGGUAACGGCCCACCAUGCCUACGAUCAGUAGGGGUUCUGAGAGGAAGGUCCCCCACACUGGAACUGAGACACGGUCCAGACUCCUACGGGAGGCAGCAGUGAGGAAUAUUGGUCAAUGGACGCAAGUCUGAACCAGCCAUGCCGCGUGCAGGAAGACGGCUCUAUGAGUUGUAAACUGCUUUUAUGCGAGGGUAAACGCAGGUACGUGUACCUGUCUG
rnacentral:rRNA from 1 species